CGGAUAAUUGUGGUUACUAACGGU
rnacentral:miRNA from 1 species